rnacentral:rRNA from 1 species
UGCAUCGUUGCACUCUGUGAUGACUCUGGAUAACUUUACUGAUCGCAAUCGGCCUUGAGUCGGCAAUGGAUCUUUCAAAUGUCUGCCCUAUCAAUUUUCGAUGGUAGGUGACCUGCCUACCAUGGUGAUAACGGGUAACGGGGAAUCAGGGUUCGAUUCCGGAGAGGGAGCCUGAGAAACGGCUACCACUUCCAAGGAAGGCAGCAGGCGCGCAAAUUACCCAAUCCCAGCACGGGGAGGUAGUGACGAAAAAUACGGAUACGGGACUCGUAUGAGGCUCCGUAAUUCGAAUGAGUACAAUUUAAAUCCUUUAACGAGGAUCAACUGGAGGGCAAGUCUGGUGCCAGCAGCCGCGGUAACUCCAGCUCCAGAAGCGUAUAUAAAAGUUGUUGCAGUUAAAAAGCUCGUAUUUGAAUCUGGGUCGUAGGGCAACUUGCCGUUGCUUGUAUUCUUGGCUUGGUUA